GCCUAACACAUGCAAGUCGAACGGAGGCCCGAAGCUUGCUUCGGAUACCUUAGUGGCGAACGGGUGAGUAACACGUGGGAAUCUACCUAAAAAUGGGGAAUAACUGUUGGAAACGACAGCUAAUACCGCAUAAUCCUUUCGAGGUAAAGGCUUCGGCCGUUUUUAGAUGAGCCCGCGCUAGAUUAGGUUGUUGGUGGAGUAAUAGCCCACCAAGCCUGCAAUCUAUAGCUGGUCUGAGAGGAUGAUCAGCCACACUGGGACUGAGACACGGCCCAGACUCCUACGGGAGGCAGCAGUGGGGAAUAUUGGACAAUGGGGGAAACCCUGAUCCAGCAAUGCCGCGUGAGUGAAGAAGGCCCUAGGGUUGUAAAGCUCUUUCAGAAGUGAAGAUGAUGACUGUAACUUCAGAAGAAGAUCCGGCUAACUCCGUGCCAGCAGCCGCGGUAAUACGGAGGGAUCUAGCGUUGUUCGGAAUUACUGGGCGUAAAGGGCGCGUAGGCUGUAUGAUUAGUCAGAGGUGAAAUCCCUAAGCUUAACUUAGGAACUGCCUUUGAUACUGUCAUACUAGAGAAUGAGAGAGGUGAGUGGAAUUCCAAGUGUAGAGGUGAAAUUCGUAGAUAUUUGGAAGAACACCAGUGGCGAAAGCGGCUCACUGGCUCAUUUCUGACGCUGAGGCGCGAAAGCGUGGGUAGCAAACAGGAUUAGAUACCCUGGUAGUCCACGCUGUAAACGAUGAAUGCUAGCCGUUUGAGGUUUUACUUCAAGUGGUGCAGUUAACGCGUUAAGCAUUCCGCCUGGGGAGUACG
rnacentral:rRNA from 1 species